rnacentral:rRNA from 1 species
UAGCCGUAAACGAUACUCGCUAGGUGUCGGCCACGGUGCGACCGUUGUCGGUGCCGUAGGGAAGCCGUGAAGCGAGCCACCUGGGAAGUACGGCCGCAAGGCUGAAACUUAAAGGAAUUGGCGGGGGAGCACAACAACGGGUGGAGCUUGCGGUUUAAUUGGAUUCAACGCCGGAAAUCUUACCGGGACCGACAGCAACAUGAAGGCCAGGCUGAAGACUUUGCCGGAUUAGCUGAGAGGUGGUGCAUGGCGUAG